UGUGUAUAUGAAUAUAUAUUUUUUGAGUAGGAAUCUCAGUCUGUCACCCAGGCUGGAGUACAGU
rnacentral:snoRNA from 1 species